rnacentral:rRNA from 1 species
CCAGACUCCUACGGGAGGCAGCAGUGGGGGAUAUUGGACAAUGGGGGGAACCCUGAUCCAGCGACGCCGCGUGAGUGAAGAAGUAUUUCGGUAUGUAAAGCUCUAUCAGCAGGGAAGAAAAUGACGGUACCUGAUUAAGAAGCCCCGGCUAACUACGUGCCAGCAGCCGCGGUAAUACGUAGGGGGCAAGCGUUAUCCGGAUUUACUGGGUGUAAAGGGAGCGUAGACGGCAGCGCAAGUCUGAAGUGAAAUGCCGGGGCUUAACCCCGGAACUGCUUUGGAAACUGUGUUGCUGGAGUGCUGGAGAGGCAAGCGGAAUUUCUAGUGUAGCGGUGAAAUGCGUAGAUAUUAGGAAGAACACCAGUGGCGAAGGCGGCUUGCUGGACAGUAACUGACGUUGAGGCUCGAAAGCGUGGGGAGCAAACAGGAUUAGAUACCCCUGUAUGA